CACCGCAAGGACUGGAGAAGGGCCAUGAGAGAAGCAGUACCUUAUAAUGGUUCCUUGUUCAAAGCACUCAAUAUUCCUAGGAUGUGGUCUCCCAGCUGACUUCAUAACUGAAUCAUCAGUAAUUAAUUUCAUUGUUCUAUUAGGACUUUACUGAAGACUCUAAGGAGGACCUGUAUCUGUUGGGAUCCUCAGGGCAAGCCACAGAAACAAGCUUUGGAUACUAGAAGCAGAAAAUGGAGAUAUUGAAGACUAUUGUGGAGUUUACUGUGAGCCAGAGAACCAGGCUGGGGGGCUGUAUCACUUAGAAUGAGAUCCAAACUCACACCAUAGUUCCAUCCUUGAGGUUGCCAUGUUGCUGCCACCCCUCCUGCCACCCCACCACUGAAGCUUUGGAUGCUGGAUUCUGGGCACAGCAGGGAGAAGUGUUGCUUAUUACCAUUUUAAUCUUGCUUUCUUUUGUAUGUUUGCAAAGAAUAUAUAGUACACUUCCUUGAUCUGUGGUUCCUAAAGUGUGAUUCCCAACAAGCAGCAUCAGGAUCAUCUGGAAACUUGAUAGAAAUGUAAAUUCUACAGUCCCUCCUUGGAGCUACAGAUUCAGAAAUUCUGAAGUUUAAGUCCAGCAGUUGGUUAUAAUAAGCUCUCUAGGUGAUUCUGACUUGCACCAAGGUUGGUGGACCAAUGCCUUAGAUUAGUAAAAAGCACUGUCAUAGAGUAAGCACUGCCAAAUCCACAGAUAUUCAUUGAAUGGCUACCAGACAUAAGAUACUAUGUACACUGAUUAGAAAAGUAAAUACAU
rnacentral:lncRNA from 10 species